rnacentral:rRNA from 1 species
AUUGAACGCUGGCGGCGUGCCUAACACAUGCAAGUCGAGUGGCAGCGCGGGAGCAAUCCUGGCGGCGAGCGGCGGACGGGUGAGUAAUGCUUGGGAAUCUGCCUGUUAGUGGGGGACAACCCGGGGAAACUCGGGCUAAUACCGCAUACGCACUACGGUGGAAAGCCGGGGACCGCAAGGCCUGGCGCUAACAGAUGAGCCCAAGUCGGAUUAGCUAGUUGGUAGGGUAACGGCCACCAAGGCGACGAUCCGUAACUGGUCUGAGAGGACGACCAGUCACACCGGAACUGAGACACGGCCCAGACUCCUACGGGAGGCAGCAGUGGGGAAUAUUGGACAAUGGGCGCAAGCCUGAUCCAGCGAUGCCGCGUGUGUGAAGAAGGCCUGCGGGUUGU